GGGGAAUUUUCCGCAAUGGGCGAAAGCCUGACGGAGCAAGACCGCGGGGGGGAGGAAGGUUCUUGGAUUGUCAACCCCUUCUCUCAGGGAAGAAGAAAGUGACGGUACCUGAGGAAGAAGCAUCGGCUAACUCCGUGCCAGCAGCCGCGGUAAUANCGGGGGAUGCAAGCGUUAUCCGGAAUGAUUGGGCGUAAAGAGUCCGUAGGUGGCUCAUCAAGUCUGCUGUUAAAGAGNCGAGGCUUAACUUCGUAAAAGCAGUGGAAACUGAAGAGCUAGAGUAUAGUAGGGGCAGAGGGAAUUCCUGGUGUAGCGGUGAAAUGCGUAGAGAUCAGGAAGAACACCGGUGGCGAAAGCGCUCUGCUGGGCUAAAACUGACACUGAGGGACGAAAGCUAGGGGAGCGAAUGGGAUUAGAUACCCCAGUAGUC
rnacentral:rRNA from 1 species